rfam:Medicago truncatula strain A17 chromosome 2, whole genome shotgun sequence.
UUGAAUGUAAAUUGAUUAUGUUUGGAUACACGUUAACAGAUGUGAUUCUUAUGAGUUGAUGUUGUUUGGAUAG